UCCGUGGCUUUGUGAUUCCAGUCCACAGGGUCUGGGUGACAUUCCCUCUGCUCUACUCCACCACCUGCUGCACCAGCGACAUGGAUUACAGAUAAGCAUGGCAGCUCAGACUGGUUAAUUGGUUCAGUUCGAAAAGUAACACCUCCGCCAGGCUCCGAGGGGACACGUCUCUGGCCUCCUCUCCACCCACCGGCAGGGUCAUGGGGUUGUAGCUGCCGUUCAUCAGGAGCUGGAAGUACCGGAGGCGAUUGUCACCUGCAAAACAAUAAACAUGAGAGGAUCUGAUCCCAAGUUCAUAGAGCGGGUAUAAAGCCAGUGAAUGUUUAAUAAUGUUUAAUAAAGCUUAUUAAGCACAUUUGUAAAAGGAGCAGCGUGCACUAACAACAGUUUCCUAUCUGAACAUUUUGUAAACACUGUUAUACAAUAAAUAUGGUGAAUGUAAA